AGUGAACGCUGGCGGUAGGCCUAACACAUGCAAGUCGAACGGCAGCACAGGAGAGCUUGCUCUCUGGGUGGCAAGUGGCGGACGGGUGAGGAAUACAUCGGAAUCUACCUUUUCGUGGGGGAUAACGUAGGGAAACUUACGCUAAUACCGCAUACGACCUACGGGUGAAAGCAGGGGAUCUUCGGACCUUGCGCGAUUGAAUGAGCCGAUGUCGGAUUAGCUAGUUGGCGGGGUAAAGGCCCACCAAGGCGACGAUCCGUAGCUGGUCUGAGAGGAUGAUCAGCCACACUGGAACUGAGACACGGUCCAGACUCCUACGGGAGGCAGCAGUGGGGAAUAUUGGACAAUGGGCGCAAGCCUGAUCCAGCCAUACCGCGUGGGUGAAGAAGGCCUUCGGGUUGUAAAGCCCUUUUGUUGGGAAAGAAAUCCAGCCGGUUAAUACCCGGUUGGGAUGACGGUACCCAAAGAAUAAGCACCGGCUAACUUCGUGCCAGCAGCCGCCGUAA
rnacentral:rRNA from 1 species